AACGAACGCUGGCGGCAUGCCUAACACAUGCAAGUCGAACGAAGGCUUCGGCCUUAGUGGCGCACGGGUGAGUAACGCGUGGGAAACCGCCUACUGGUGGGGAAUCACGACGGGAAACUGUCGCUAAUACCGCAUAAGCCCUUCGGGGGAAAGAUUUAUCGCCGAUAGAUGUGCCCGCGUCCGAUUAGCUAGUUGGUGAGGUAAUGGCUCACCAGGGCGACGAUCGGUAGCUGGUCUGCGAGGAUGAUCAGCCACACUGGGACUGAGACACGGCCCAGACUCCUACGGGAGGCAGCAGUGGGGAAUAUUGGACAAUGGGCGAAAGCCUGAUCCAUCAAUGCCGCGUGAGUGAUGAAGGCCUUAGGGUUGUAAAGCUCUUUCGGGUGGGACGAUGAUGACGGUACCACCAGAAGAAGCCCCGGCUAACUUCGUGCCAGCCGCCGCAGUAA
rnacentral:rRNA from 1 species